CCUACGGGUGGCAGCAGUGAGGAAUAUUGGUCAAUGGACGAGAGUCUGAACCAGCCAAGUAGCGUGAAGGAUGACUGCCCUAUGGGUUGUAACCUUCUUUUAUAUGGGAAUAAAAUGUUCCACGUGUGGGAUUUUGUAUGUACCAUAUGAAUAAGGAUCGGCUAACUCCGUUCCAGCAGCCGCGGUAACACGGAGGAUCCGAGCGUUAUCCGGAUUUAUUGGGUUUAAAGGGAGAGUAGGUGUAUUGUUAAUUCAGUUGUGAAUGCUUGCGGCUCAACCGUAAAAUUGCAGUUGAAACUGGCAGGCUAGAGUACAGUAGAGGUGGGCGGAAUUCGUGGUGUAGCGGUGAAAUGCUUAGAUAUCACGAAGAACUCCGAUUGCGAAGGCAGUUCACUGGACUGAAACUGACACUGAGGCACGAAAGUGUGGGUAUCAAACAGGAUUAGAUACCCUAGUAGUC
rnacentral:rRNA from 1 species